CCUACGGGGGGCAGCAGUGAGGAAUAUUGGUCAAUGGGCGAGAGCCUGAACCAGCCAAGUCGCGUGAGGGAGUACUGCCCUAUGGGUUGUAAACCUCUUUUGUCGGGGAGCAAAAGCCGGACGUGUCCGGCUGUGAGAGUACCCGAAGAAAAAGCAUCGGCUAACUCCGUGCCAGCAGCCGCGGUAAUACGGGGGAUGCGAGCGUUAUCCGGAUUUAUUGGGUUAAAAGGGGGCGCAGGCGGAUUUUUAAGUCAGCGGUAAAAUCGUGGGGCUCAACCCCAUCCAGCCGGUGAAACUGGGGAUCUAGAGUGUGCGAGAGGUAUGCGGAAUGCGUGGUGUAGCGGUGAAAUGCAUAGAUAUCACGCAGAACCCCGAUUGCGAAGGCAGCAUACCGGUGCACAACUGACGCUCAGGCACGAAAGCGUGGGUAUCGAACAGGAUUAGAUACCCGAGUAGUC
rnacentral:rRNA from 1 species